AGAGUUUGAUCCUGGCUCAGAACGAACGCUGGCGGCGUGCUUCAUACAUGCAAGUCGAACGAGAAAAUUCCGCUUCGGGGAAUGAGUAGAGUGGCAAACGGGUGAGUAACACGUGGGCAACCUGCUCUCAAAUUGGGGAUAACCUCGCCAACGCGGGGCUAAUACCGAAUGUUGUCCUAAUAUCGCAUGGUAUAAGGAUGAAAGCUUUUUUUUAAUAAGAAGGCGUUUGAGAAGGGGCCCGCGUCCUAUUAGCUUGUUGGUGAGGUAAUGGCUCACCAAGGCUGCGAUAGGUAGCCGGCCUGAGAGGGUGAUCGGCCACACUGGGACUGAGAUACGGCCCAGACUCCUACGGGAGGCAGCAGUAGGGAAUAUUGCGCAAUGGACGAAAGUCUGACGCAGCAACGCCGCGUGGGUGAUGAAGUUUUUCGGAACGUAAAACCCUGUCAGGAGGGAAGAAACUCUCGAUUUUUUCGGGACUGACGGUACCUCCAGAGGAAGCUCCGGCCAACUCCGUGCCAGCAGCCGCGGUAACACGGGGGGAGCAAGCGUUGUUCGGAUUUACUGGGCGUAAAGGGCGUGUAGGCGGAUGGGUCAGUCAGAUGUGAAAUUCCAGGGCUCAACUCUGGACCUGCAUUUGAUACUUCUCAUCUAGAGUAUGGGAGAGGAGAUCGGAAUUCCUGGUGUAGCGGUGAAAUGCGUAGAUAUCAGGAAGAACACCGGUGGCGAAGGCGGAUCUCUGGCCUAAUACUGACGCUGAUGCGCGAAAGCUGGGGGAGCAAACAGGAUUAGAUACCCUGGUAGUCCCAGCCGUAAACGAUGGGCACUAGGUGUUGGGGGUAUUGAUCCCCUCAGUGCCGGAGUUAACGCAUUAAGUGCCCCGCCUGGGGAGUACGCUCGCAAGGGUGAAACUCAAAGGAAUUGACGGGGGCCCGCACAAGCGGUGGAGCAUGUGGUUUAAUUCGAUGCAACGCGAAGAACCUUACCGGGGUUUGACAUGCCCGUCAUACCUUGAUGAAAGUCAAGGGUCAGUUCGCUGGACGGUGCACAGGUGCUGCAUGGCUGUCGUCAGCUCGUGUCGUGAGAUGUUGGGUUAAGUCCCGCAACGAGCGCAACCCUUACCCUUAGUUGCCAGCACGUAAUGGUGGGAACUCUAAGGGGACUGCCUCGGAUAACGGGGAGGAAGGUGGGGAUGACGUCAAGUCCUCAUGGCCCUUAUGCUCCGGGCUACACACGUGCUACAAUGGUCGGUACAGAGGGCUGCGAAACCGCGAGGUGGAGCUAAUCCCAGAAAGCCGAUCUCAGUUCGGAUUGGAGUCUGCAACUCGACUCCAUGAAGUCGGAAUCGCUAGUAAUCGCGAAUCAGCAGGUCGCGGUGAAUACGUUCCCGGGCCUUGUACACACCGCCCGUCAAGCGACG
rnacentral:rRNA from 1 species